CAGCAAAUAAUUUAAUAAAAAUAUUAGUCUUGGGUAUUAAAAAUAUAGAAACCCUAUUUUGUUGA
rnacentral:tRNA from 1 species